AUCAACUUUCGAUGGUAGGAUAGAGGCCUACCAUGGUGGUAACGGGUAACGGGGUGUUAGGGCACGACACCGGAGAGGGAGCCUGAGAAACGGCUACCACAUCCAAGGAUGGCAGCAGGCGCGCAAAUUACCCAAUCCCGACACGGGGAGGUAGUGACAAUAAAUAACAAUACGGGGUUCUUUAGGAUCUCGUAAUUGGAAUGAGUACAAUUUAAAUCUCUUAACGAGGAACAAUUGGAGGGCAAGUCUGGUGCCAGCAGCCGCGGUAAUUCCAGCUCCAAUAGCGUAUAUUAAAGUUGUUGCAGUUAAAAAGCUCGUAGUUGAAUUUCGAGACCGGCUUACUGGUCGUGCUUUUGUACGUACUGGUACAAUCGGUUUCUCCUUUCUGACGAACUAUAAUGCCAUUAAUUUGGUGUUAUAGGGAAUCAGGACUGUUACUUUGAAAAAAUUAGAGUGUUUAAAGCAGGCUCACGCUUGAAUACAUUAGCAUGGAAUAACGGAAUAGGACGUUUGAUUCUAUUUUGUUGGUUUCUAGGAUCGACGUAAUGAUUAAUAGGGAUAGUUGGGGGCAUUAGUAUUCAAUUGUCAGAGGUGAAAUUCUUGGAUUUAUUGAAGACUAACUACUGCGAAAGCAUUUGCCAAGGAUGUUUUCAUUAAUCAAGAACGAAAGUUAGGGGAUCGAAGACGAUCAGAUACCGUCGUAGUCUUAACCAUAAACUAUGCCGACUAGGGAUCGGAUGAUGUUAAUUUUUUAAUGACUCAUUCGGCGCCUUACGGGAAACCAAAGUGUUUGGGUUC
rnacentral:rRNA from 1 species